rnacentral:rRNA from 1 species
GUGUCAGCAGCCGCGGUAAUACGUAGGGUGCGAGCGUUAAUCGGAAUUACUGGGCGUAAAGCGUGCGUAGGCGGUUCGUUAAGUUCGUCGUGAAAGCCCCGGGCUCAACCUGGGAAUGGCGAUGGAAACUGGCGGGCUGGAGUAUGGCAGAGGGGGGUGGAAUUCCGCGUGUAGCAGUGAAAUGCGUAGAGAUGCGGAGGAACACCGAUGGCGAAGGCAGCCCCCUGGGCCAAUACUGACGCUCAGGCACGAAAGCGUGGGGAGCAAACAGGAUUAGAAACCCGUGUAGUCC